rfam:Trichobilharzia regenti genome assembly, scaffold: TRE_scaffold0022085
GCACUGCUGAAGAGUCCCAAACUAGGACGAAAUAGAUGUUCAGUAC